UACGUAGGGGGCUAGCGUUGCUCGGAAUUACUGGGCGUAAAGCGCACGAAGGCGGACUUUUAAGUCGGGGGUGAAAUCCUGGAGCUCAACUCCAGAACUGCCUUCGAAACUGAAAGUCUUGAGUUCGGGAGAGGUGAGUGGAACUGCGAGUGUAGAGGUGAAAUUCGUAGAUAUUCGCAAGAACACCAGUGGCGAAGGCGGCUCACUGGCCCGAUACUGACGCUGAGGUGCGAAAGCGUGGGGAGCAAACAGG
rnacentral:rRNA from 1 species